rnacentral:rRNA from 1 species
UUUUGAAGAAUGAGCCUGCGAGUCAGCGGCAUGUCGCGAGGUUAACCCGUUUGUGUGGGGUAGUCGUAGCGAAAGCGAAUCCGAAUAGGGUGGCAAGUGGCAUGUCCUGGACCCGAAGCGGGGUGAUCUACCCAUGGCCAGUGUGAAGCAGCUGUAAGAGGUUGUGGAGGCGCGAACCCACUUAGGUUAAAAACUGAGGGGAUGAGCUGUGGAUAGGGGUGAAAGGCUAAACAAACUUGGAAAUAGCUGGUUCUCUCCGAAAACUAUUUAGGUAGUGCCUCAAGUAUCACCAUCGGGGGUAGAGCACUGUUAUGGCUAGGGGGUCAUUGCGACUUACCAAACCAUUGCAAACUCCGAAUACCGAGACGGACUGUAUGGGAGACACACGGCGGGUGCUAACGUCCGUCGUGAAAAG